rnacentral:misc_RNA from 1 species
UCUCCGUUGGUGAACCAGCGGAGGGAUCAUUACCGAGUUUACAACUCCCAAACCCCUAUGUGAACGUUACCAAACUGUUGCCUCGGCGGGAAAUUCAUGCCCCGGGCGCGUCGCAGCCCCGGACCAAGGCGCCCGCCGGAGGACCAACCAAAACUCUUUAGUAUGUCCCUCGCGGACUUUUAUAAUUCUGAACCAUCUCGGCGCCCCUAGCGGGCGUUUCGAAAAUGAAUCAAAACUUUCGACAACGGAUCUCUUGGUUCUG